GGUUUGGCUGCAUGCGCUUACUUGGUUUUGGUUGGCUUUUAGUGGGGUGAAGCUUGCAGUUUGCAGCACUGAGGAAGGAGCAGUUCUUUGUGUGCUUUUCCAGGGAGAGGAUCUUUGAGUCACUGGUAGCCUUGCCCAGCUUGGUGUGGCACUGGAACAGCUGCAGGGGUGGCAGGAAGAUAGAUAGGAGCGAGAUGGAGCCGGCUGGUUGCGUGUGUGAAAGGGUUCGUUCGUUUGGGCCUGGACAAUGCACAGGACUGCCCAGCAUCAGCCCGAGAAGCAUUGAAUUUGGAACAUGACCUCGAAACAGCCUUCUGUGCAACCAGUUUCGUUUGAGCUAUUGGGUGCAUGCCGUAUGCUUUCCAAGAACUUGGAGCAGAACAUGGAAUUCACCCUCAGCAGCCAGGUCCAUCCUAUAAUUAACAGAUAAUCAUCUGUUCAGAAGAAAUGUUAAUGGGACUCCCAUAGAACUCCUGACAUUUUGCAGAUGUUCCUGUUAGAAGACCUAUAACUUCAUUUUGAAAACAGUACUAAAAGCACUAAUAUUCAAACUGCAGGGCUUAAAUGCCUGUCACAAAUUAGGUUGCUUCCAGGCAUCCUGCUGCUGAAUGGAAUUACUAGUUACGAAUUCAUGGGUUAAGGUUCUUAAACAGUGCACCAGAAGUCAGACAUCUAAGAGUGAUACAGGCAGCAAAUUUUUUUGUGUUUUGUUUUGAAAAAGGAGAAGUGAGAAAGAUCAGAAGAAAAGUCUCAUUUCAGCUUAUCAGAACAGGACACCUCUUCGUGGCCAAGUUAGAUAUCUGUGUCUUUCUGACUUGUAAUAGUGCCUGGAAAUGAAAUCCCUUAUUAUGCCUUAACAAGUGAGCCCUAACUGCUUAGGCAAUUUUAUUGUAGUAGAGUUCUUCUUUGGGAGAAACAGGCUUCUUGCAACUGUUCUACCUGACCAGAGUCUGUUAGACCCUUCAUGCUUCCUUGCAGAUGGUAGUGAUGCUUGAGUGUUUCAGUAUUACAGAGGAAACAUAAUUUUAUAUACAUUUAACUUAUAUGCAGUGCUGGAAAAUGUUACCUCUAAUGACAGCACCUCUUGAUUCUUUUCACCCCUGAGUUAUAAAUGCCAAAAUUGUUCAUGGACCUGAAAAAGACCUAACAAACUCACAAAAGUGAAAUUGAUAUACUAAAUAAAAAGAUACCAUUAUUCGAUCAAAUCUUGAGCUAUAAAGAGCUAGAGACUGGGAUUAUAACUGUAUGCAUGUCCUGUUCUUUGCUUCCUGUGCAUUCACAUUUCACCAGUAUUGUGGAAACAGGGUCCUGGGCUUUGCAUUUCUGAUUUAACAAAUGGUGAUUUACUUAAAAUGCCAGAAAUGUCUUCUGGUCACUCAUAAUUGUGGGAAAACCCCAGAACAAUCUCUGCCUCUAAGAUUCUUGUGCUUCAGUGAAGUUUUGCUGGCACAGGCUGGGUGUAGCUACAAUGAUGUGAGUGCUUUUGCUGGCUUUGUUCAUUUUCAGAACAUGCAGUUGCAAUGAGACAAGAAAAGCUCUGAGUGUGUAUUUCUUGUCCUUGAGGAGGCUCAGACAGCUCCGGCCUGGUGGCUGUUGAUCCUGGAGUUUGGCACAUCACUCAACUGGCAGGCUCUAGUAAUUGAAUGCUUGUUGUAUCUGCAAGCAAUUACAUCUGUUCUUGUUCAGGUUUUUUUAAUUCCUGUAUCUCUUCUAUAUAAAGUCUACAAAAAACCAGUAAGGAAUAUUUCUGUGUCAUUUUGAGAAUGUAUCAUGUUUCAAAAACUUGCCUUAGUGUCAGUAACAGUGCUGUCCCUUUGAUCUCCUCUGGCAAAAGACUUGAUGGUACCAAGAAUGUUUUGUCAUAUGUGAGUUUUUCACUUUCAGAAAUAUUUCAUACAGGUGAAAAUUCAAGAAUUUUGCACACAUCAGUGUGUUUGUAAGGUAGAUGGAAUAACUAUGGAGAUUCUAAAUUGCACAUUUUAAAAAUAUCUUAAAAUGUCAAUAAAGUUUUUAUUUGUUUCAUCAUG